GAACGCGGAGUGCUGGGAAACUGGCACGCUCCGUGUGGAGCAGGGGAAAAGCCGGAGAUCGCAUCAAACGCUUACCUAUUGCUGAC
rfam:Paenibacillus sp. Soil787 contig_1, whole genome shotgun sequence.